AGAGUUUGAUCAUGGCUCAGAUUGAACGCUGGCGGCAUGCCUUACACAUGCAAGUCGAACGGCAGCACGGGGGCAACCCUGGUGGCGAGUGGCGAACGGGUGAGUAACAUAUCGGAACGUGCCCUGGAGUGGGGGAUAACUAGUCGAAAGAUUAGCUAAUACCGCAUACGAUCUACGGAUGAAAGUGGGGGAUCGCAAGACCUCAUGCUCGUGGAGCGGCCGAUAUCUGAUUAGCUAGUUGGUGGGGUAAAGGCCUACCAAGGCAUCGAUCAGUAGCUGGUCUGAGAGGACGACCAGCCACACUGGGACUGAGACACGGCCCAGACUCCUACGGGAGGCAGCAGUGGGGAAUUUUGGACAAUGGGCGCAAGCCUGAUCCAGCAAUGCCGCGUGAGUGAAGAAGGCCUUCGGGUUGUAAAGCUCUUUUGUCAGGGAAGAAACGGUGAGGGCUAAUAUCCUUUGCUAAUGACGGUACCUGAAGAAUAAGCACCGGCUAACUACGUGCCAGCAGCCGCGGUAAUACGUAGGGUGCAAGCGUUAAUCGGAAUUACUGGGCGUAAAGCGUGCGCAGGCGGUUGUGCAAGACCGAUGUGAAAUCCCCGGGCUUAACCUGGGAAUGGCAUUGGUGACUGCACGGCUAGAGUGUGUCAGAGGGGGGUAGAAUUCCACGUGUAGCAGUGAAAUGCGUAGAGAUGUGGAGGAAUACCGAUGGCGAAGGCAGCCCCCUGGGAUAACACUGACGCUCAUGCACGAAAGCGUGGGGAGCAAACAGGAUUAGAUACCCCGGUAGUCC
rnacentral:rRNA from 1 species